rnacentral:hammerhead_ribozyme from 1 species
AUUCAGCUGACGAGUCUCAAAUAGGACGAAACACGCGUCCUGGAU